CUGUUUUAUCAAAAACAUCGCCUCCUGCAACACAACCAUGUAUAGGAGGUCCAGCCUGCCCAGUGACUACAAGUUCAACGGCCGCGGUAUUUUGACCGUGCAAAGGUAGCGCAAUCACUUGUCUUUUAAAUAGAGACCUGUAUGAAUGGCUAAACGAGGGCUUAACUGUCUCCCCUUUCCAGUCAGUGAAAUUGAUCUACCCGUGCAGAAGCGGGUAUAAUAAUACAAGACGAGAAGACCCUUUGGAGCUUAAGGUACAAAACUCAACCACGUCAAGCAACUCAAUAAAAAGCAAAAACUUUGUGAAACAUGAGAUUUUACCUUCGGUUGGGGCGACCACGGAGGAAAACAAAGCCUCCAAGUGGACUGGGAAAACCUCCUAAAACCAAGAGAGACAUCUCUAAGCCACAGAACAUCUGACCAAACAUGAUCCGGCCACCCAAAGCCGAUCAACGAACCAAGUUACCCUAGGGAUAACAGCGCAAUCCUCUCCCAGAGUCCAUAUCGACAAGAGGGUUUACGACCUCGAUGUUGGAUCAGGACAUCCUAAUGGUGCAGCCGCUAUAAAGGGUUCGUUUGUUCAACGAUAAAAGUCCUACUUGAUCUGAGUUCAAACCGG
rnacentral:rRNA from 1 species